CCUACGGGAGGCAGCAGUGGGGAAUAUUGGGCAAUGGGCGCAAGCCUGACCCAGCAACGCCGCGUGAAGGAAGAAGGCUUUCGGGUUGUAAACUUCUUUUCUGAGGGACGAAAGUCACGUUACCUCAGGAGUAAGACACGGCUAAUUACGUGCCAGCAGCCGCGGUAAUACGCAGGUGGCAAGCGUUAUACGGAUUUACUGGGGGUAAAGGGCGUGUAGGCGGGAUGGUAAGUCAGAUGUGAAAACUAUGGGCUCAACCCAUAGCCUGCAGUGGAAACUGGCGUUCUUGAGUGCUGGGGAGGCAGGCGGAAUUCGGGGUGUAGCGGUGAAAUGCGUAGAUAUGAGGAGGAACACCGGUGGCGAAGGCAGCCUGCUGGAGAGUAACUGACGCUGAGGCGCGAAAGCGUGGGGAGCGAACAGGAUUAGAUACCCUUAUAGUC
rnacentral:rRNA from 1 species